rnacentral:rRNA from 1 species
UACGAAGGGGACUAGCGUUGUUCGGAAUCACUGGGCGUAAAGCGCACGUAGGCGGAUUCGUAAGUCAGGGGUGAAAUCCCGGGGCUCAACCUCGGAACUGCCUUUGAUACUGCGGGUCUUGAGUCCGAUAGAGGUGGGUGGAAUUCCUAGUGUAGAGGUGAAAUUCGUAGAUAUUCGGAAGAACACCAGUGGCGAAGGCGGCUCACUGGCCCGUUACCGACGCUCAGGCGCGACAGCGUGGGGAGCAAACAGG